rnacentral:rRNA from 1 species
UAAGGGCGCACGGUGGAUGCCUUGGCACUAGAAGCCGAUGAAGGACGUUACUAACGACGAUAUGCUUUGGGGAGCUGUAAGUAAGCUUUGAUCCAGAGAUUUCCGAAUGGGGAAACCCAGCAUGAGUUAUGUCAUGUUAUCGAUAUGUGAAUACAUAGCAUAUCAGAAGGCACACCCGGAGAACUGAAACAUCUUAGUACCCGGAGGAAGAGAAAGAAAAUUCGAUUCCCUUAGUAGCGGCGAGCGAAACGGGAAGAGCCCAAACCAACAAGCUUGCUUGUUGGGGUUGUAGGACACUCUAUACGGAGUUACAAAGGACGACAUUAGACGAAUCAUCUGGAAAGAUGAAUCAAAGAAGGUAAUAAUCCUGUAGUCGAAAAUGUUGUCUCUCUUGAGUGGAUCCUGAGUACGACGGAGCACGUGAAAUUCCGUCGGAAUCUGGGAGGACCAUCUCCUAAGGCUAAAUACUCUCUAGUGACCGAUAGUGAACCAGUACCGUGAGGGAAAGGUGAAAAGCACCCCGGAAGGGGAGUGAAAUAGAACCUGAAACCGUGUGCUUACAAGUAGUCAGAGCCCGUUAAUGGGUGAUGGCGUGCCUUUUGUAGAAUGAACCGGCGAGUUACGAUUUGAUGCAAGGUUAAGCAGUAAAUGUGGAGCCGUAGCGAAAGCGAGUCUGAAUAGGGCGUUUAGUAUUUGGUCGUAGACCCGAAACCAGGUGAUCUACCCUUGGUCAGGUUGAAGUUCAGGUAACACUGAAUGGAGGACCGAACCGACUUACGUUGAAAAGUGAGCGGAUGAACUGAGGGUAGCGGAGAAAUUCCAAUCGAACCUGGAGAUAGCUGGUUCUCUCCGAAAUAGCUUUAGGGCUAGCCUCAAGUGAUGAUUAUUGGAGGUAGAGCACUGUUUGGACGAGGGGCCCCUCUCGGGUUACCGAAUUCAGACAAACUCCGAAUGCCAAUUAAUUUAACUUGGGAGUCAGAACAUGGGUGAUAAGGUCCGUGUUCGAAAGGGAAACAGCCCAGACCACCAGCUAAGGUCCCAAAAUAUAUGUUAAGUGGAAAAGGAUGUGGCGUUGCCCAGACAACUAGGAUGUUGGCUUAGAAGCAGCCAUCAUUUAAAGAGUGCGUAAUAGCUCACUAGUCGAGUGACACUGCGCCGAAAAUGUACCGGGGCUAAACAUAUUACCGAAGCUGUGGAUUGUCCUUUGGACAAUGGUAGGAGAGCGUUCUAAGGGCGUUGAAGCAUGAUCGUAAGGACAUGUGGAGCGCUUAGAAGUGAGAAUGUCGGUGUGAGUAGCGAAAGACGGGUGAGAAUCCCGUCCACCGAUUGACUAAGGUUUCCAGAGGAAGGCUCGUCCGCUCUGGGUUAGUCGGGUCCUAAGCUGAGGCCGACAGGCGUAGGCGAUGGAUAACAGGUUGAUAUUCCUGUACCACCUAUAAUCGUUUUAAUCGAUGGGGGGACGCAGUAGGAUAGGCGAAGCGUGCGAUUGGAUUGCACGUCUAAGCAGUAAGGCUGAGUAUUAGGCAAAUCCGGUACUCGUUAAGGCUGAGCUGUGAUGGGGAGGAGACAUUGUGUCUUCGAGUCGUUGAUUUCACACUGCCGAGAAAAGCCUCUAGAUAGAAAAUAGGUGCCCGUACCGCAAACCGACACAGGUAGUCAAGAUGAGAAUUCUAAGGUGAGCGAGCGAACUCUCGUUAAGGAACUCGGCAAAAUGACCCCGUAACUUCGGGAGAAGGGGUGCUCUUUAGGGUUAACGCCCAGAAGAGCCGCAGUGAAUAGGCCCAAGCGACUGUUUAUCAAAAACACAGGUCUCUGCUAAACCGUAAGGUGAUGUAUAGGGGCUGACGCCUGCCCGGUGCUGGAAGGUUAAGAGGAGUGGUUAGCUUCUGCGAAGCUACGAAUCGAAGCCCCAGUAAACGGCGGCCGUAACUAUAACGGUCCUAAGGUAGCGAAAUUCCUUGUCGGGUAAGUUCCGACCCGCACGAAAGGCGUAACGAUUUGGGCACUGUCUCAACGAGAGACUCGGUGAAAUCAUAGUACCUGUGAAGAUGCAGGUUACCCGCGACAGGACGGAAAGACCCCGUGGAGCUUUACUGUAGCCUGAUAUUGAAAUUCGGCACAG